UCUCAACAGAUGCAACAAUUUUUGCAUCCAAACCUAUUAAAUUCAAAUUCUCAAAAUCGUUUUAGCAGUCCAGCUGGAGCUCUAUCAGAUGCAACUUUGCAGGGUCAAUGGCAUCCUCAAUCACAAGAUAGAAACCACAGGCAAGGGAGCAUUGCUCAUGAGCAAAAUGUCCAACACGAUUUCCGUAAAAAGGUAUCCGGUCACGAUAUAGUGCAG
rnacentral:misc_RNA from 1 species